rnacentral:rRNA from 1 species
UGCAAGUCGAACGGAAAGGCCUCUUCGGAGGUACUCGAGUGGCGAACGGGUGAGUAACACGUGGGUGAUCUGCCCUGCACUCUGGGAUAAGCCUGGGAAACUGGGUCUAAUACCGGAUAGGACCAUGCUUUAGUGUGUGUGGUGGAAAGUUUUUUCGGUGUAGGAUGAGCCCGCGGCCUAUCAGCUUGUUGGUGGGGUAAUGGCCUACCAAGGCGGCGACGGGUAGCCGGACUGAGAGGUUGGUCGGCCACAUUGGGACUGAGAUACGGCCCAGACUCCUACGGGAGGCAGCAGUGGGGAAUAUUGCACAAUGGGCGCAAGCCUGAUGCAGCGACGCCGCGUGGGGGAUGACGGCCUUCGGGUUGUAAACUCCUUUCGCCAGGGACGAAGCGUUUUGUGACGGUACCUGGAGAAGAAGCACCGGCUAACUACGUGCCAGCAGCCGCGGUAAUACGUAGGGUGCAAGCGUUGUCCGGAAUUACUGGGCGUAAAGAGCUCGUAGGUGGUUUGUCACGUCGUCUGUGAAAUUCCACAGCUUAACUGUGGGCGUGCAGGCGAUACGGGCUGACUUGAGUACUGUAGGGGUAACUGGAAUUCUGGUGUAGCGGUGAAAUGCGCAGAUAUCAGGAGGAACACCGAUGGCGAAGGCAGGUUACUGGGCAGUUACUGA